rnacentral:rRNA from 1 species
ACGAACGCUGGCGGCGUGCUUAACACCUGCAAGUCGAACGGAAAGGCCCUGCUUUUGUGGGGUGCUCGAGUGGCGAACGGGUGAGUAACACGUGAGUAACCUGCCCUUGACUUUGGGAUAACUUCAGGAAACUGGGGCUAAUACCGGAUAGGAGCUCCUGCUGCAUGGUGGGGGUUGGAAAGUUUCGGCGGUUGGGGAUGGACUCGCGGCUUAUCAGCUUGUUGGUGGGGUAGUGGCUUACCAAGGCUUUGACGGGUAGCCGGCCUGAGAGGGUGACCGGCCACAUUGGGACUGAGAUACGGCCCAGACUCCUACGGGAGGCAGCAGUGGGGAAUAUUGCACAAUGGGCGGAAGCCUGAUGCAGCAACGCCGCGUGCGGGAUGACGGCCUUCGGGUUGUAAACCGCUUUCGCCUGUGACGAAGCGUGAGCGACGGUAAUGGGUAAAGAAGCACCGGCUAACUACGUG